GGUGGCUCAGUGGUAGAGUGCUUGCCUUGCAUGCAUAAGGCCCUAGGUUCAAUUCCUCAGCACCA
rfam:Dipodomys ordii contig_14092, whole genome shotgun sequence.